UUUUGUCGGAGGGAUCCUUUGCCAUCCUGCACCUCCAUGACUUCCUUACGUUGAAGCCCAAUGAGUGGCUUAGUGGGGAGUUAUGUUAAGGUCCCCCACAUGUUAUGGUUGAGUUGUAUGAAAUGUCCAUGCAUACAGUUGGUUUAAAGUACAAUUAGAGUUGUUGCCUGGGCAUCAUGUCUACUUUGACCAACCCUGUGCCAUUCUGCUUUAGGUAAUUGACUUCUACUUCCAACUGAAGAGGAUUAACCUUCAAGUGGAGGGGGAUGUUUUUAUUGUGGAUCACUUUGUGGCAGGGAUUAUCCUGCAUGGGGAUAAGGUGGCGAUGCGCAAGAGCACCUUGUCAAAGACCAGUCUGGAGCAGGACAGUUGCUGGAUUGGAGUUUGCAACGUGGGAAACUACCACUGGAUACACUUGGACCCACUCUGCCAUUGUCCUGGACCCUACUGGUUCCCUUAACGCGGAGAGCCAUAUGAGUGAGAACCUGGAAGCACAUCAGGUAUGGUCAAUCCAGUGGUGUAAAAAUACUUAAGUAGUUUUUUGGGGUGUCUGU